UACGUAGGGUGCGAGCGUUAAUCGGAAUUACUGGGCGUAAAGCGUGCGCAGGCGGUGAUGUAAGACAGGUGUGAAAUCCUCGGGCUUAACCUGGGAACUGCAUUUGUGACUGCAUCGCUGGAGUGCGGCAGAGGGGGAUGGAAUUCCGCGUGUAGCAGUGAAAUGCGUAGAUAUGCGGAGGAACACCGAUGGCGAAGGCAAUCCCCUGGGCCUGCACUGACGCUCAUGCACGAAAGCGUGGGGAGCAAACAGG
rnacentral:rRNA from 1 species